rnacentral:rRNA from 1 species
UACGGGGGGGGCAAGCGUUGUUCGGAAUUAUUGGGCGUAAAGGGCGUGUAGGCGGCUUCGUAAGUCUCAUUGUGAAAGCCCUCGGCUCAACCGAGGAACUGCAUGGGAAACUGCGGAGCUUGAGUCCGGGAGAGGAGAGCGGAAUUCCCAGUGUAGCGGUGAAAUGCGUAGAUAUUGGGAGGAACACCGGUGGCGAAGGCGGCUCUCUGGACCGGUACUGACGCUGAGACGCGAAAGCUAGGGGAGCAAACGGG